GUGAAGGAUUGUGGGAAAUGCAACAUGGCGGCAGAGUCAUACACCAUUACAACGUGCUACAGAGAAGAAGACAAACUAACAAGCGAACUAUUCCGAUGGUCUGAGAGGCGCACACGUUUUCACGGUGUCUGCUGACUGGAGAGGGAUAAUAAAAAGUUAAAAGACA